AGUGAACGCUGGCGGUAGGCCUAACACAUGCAAGUCGAACGGCAGCACAGUAAGAGCUUGCUCUUACGGGUGGCGAGUGGCGGACGGGUGAGGAAUACAUCGGAAUCUACUUUUUCGUGGGGGAUAACGUAGGGAAACUUACGCUAAUACCGCAUACGACCUACGGGUGAAAGCAGGGGAUCUUCGGACCUUGCGCGAUUGAAUGAGCCGAUGUCGGAUUAGCUAGUUGGCGGGGUAAAGGCCCACCAAGGCGACGAUCCGUAGCUGGUCUGAGAGGAUGAUCAGGCACACUGGAAAUGGGAAACGGGCCCGACUCCCAAGGGGGGGAGCAGAGGGGAAAAUUGGACAAUGGGGGCAAAACCGAGACACACCCAUCGCGUGGGUGAAAAAGGGCUUGGGGUUGUAAAGACCCUUUGUUGGGGAAAAAAAAAAGAAGGUUAAUACCCCCCGGUUUUGAGGGGGCCCACAAAAAAAAAACAGGGUAAAUUCGUG
rnacentral:rRNA from 1 species